UACGUAGGGUGCAAGCGUUAGUCCGGAAUCAUUGGGCGUAAAGAGCGUGUAGGCGGCCCGGUAAGUCCGCUGUAAAAGUCAAAGGCUCAACCUUUGAAUGUCAGUGGAUACUGCCGGGCUAGAGUCCGGAAGAGGCGAGUGGAACUCCUGGUGUAGCGGUGGAAUGCGCAGAUAUCGGGAGGAACACCGGUGGCGAAGGCGGUUCUCUGGGCCUUACCUGACGCUGAGGAGCGAAAGCGUGGGGAGCGAACAGG
rnacentral:rRNA from 1 species